CCUACGGGGGGCAGCAGUGGGGAAUAUUGGACAAUGGGGGCAACCCUGAUCCAGCCAUGCCGCGUGUGUGAAGAAGGCCCUCGGGUUGUAAAGCACUUUCAGUGAGGAAGAACGCCUGGUGGUUAAUACCCAUCAGGAAAGACAUCACUCAAAGAAGAAGCACCGGCUAACUCCGUGCCAGCAGCCGCGGUAAUACGGAGGGUGCGAGCGUUAAUCGGAAUUACUGGGCGUAAAGCGCGCGUAGGUGGCUUGAUAAGCCGGUUGUGAAAGCCCCGGGCUCAACCUGGGAACGGCAUCCGGAACUGUCAAGCUAGAGUGCAGGAGAGGAAGGUAGAAUUCCAUGUGUAGCGGUGAAAUGCGUAGAGAUCGGGAGGAAUACCAGUGGCGAAGGCGGCCUUCUGGACUGUCACUGACACUGAGGUGCGAAAGCGUGGGUAGCAAACAGGAUUAGAUACCCUUGUAGUC
rnacentral:rRNA from 1 species